rnacentral:tRNA from 1 species
AAGGAUAUAACUCAGUGGUAGAGUGCUAUCUUGACGUGAUAGAGGUCAUCAGUUCGAAUCUGAUUAUCCUUA